rnacentral:lncRNA from 1 species
UAAAUUUUAGUGGUGUUUAUCAUUUAUAGAUAAAAAAAAUACAAACUAUUAUUCACUUGUACAACACAUAUCACUAAAAGAUGGAGCAUUUAUUUUCAAGCAUUCAAAUGGUAAGUGUAUACAAUAUUGAAAGAGUUGAUAAGUUCCUUAUUAAACUCAAAUGACAUAAGAUGUGAAAAUACAUUGAAGAGGCCUCUACUAAUGGUCAAAUACUUUAAUUACUUGAGUUAUAUAAAAGAUUCAUAAGUUCCUAUUGUUGCUCUUGUGGAUUUGCCUUUAUUUUCUUCACUUGGAGCGGCAUGCUGCCUCCGAGGACCCAACUUGCCUAGCC